GUUUGCUCUCUCUCCCAUCUUUAUCAUUUUAAUUUGAUUUGAUAAUAAUCAAAUUCCAAUUUUUAAACUGUAUUUUUCUUUACUUUCAUAAUCAAUUACUUUAUUGCAUUAAUUAAUUAUGGUUGACACCGCCACCUACUUUUUAGUUAAUUGUUUGCACUAUAUAUAUAUAUAUAUAUAUAUAUAUAUAUAUAUAUAUAUAUAUAUAUAUAGAUAAUAGAUAGAUAGAUAGAUAGAUAGAUAGUGAUUAAAUAAUAAUACAUGAUAAUAUUUGACUAAUACCAACUUGUCCAGCCGUCAUUGACUCAAAGACUCUACCCAUUUACUAGUGGAAUAGUUUACGCUAUUUUAGGAAAAUUUAUGUUUAAUAUAGUCAUUCUAUUCGUGCUCUCUAUAGUAACUAGAUAUAACAGUACGGGCAGGCCCAAUAUAUAUAAUUUAGUUAUUUUAAUUUAUGUGAAACAGAUAACAUUAGAAUAGUUUCAAAUUUUUUUAUUGUUUAUUAUUUUUAUUAUGUUUUUAAGUACUUUUCCAAUAAUAUCUUUGGCACAUGUGAUAUUUAGAGAGUGAAAUUUUCUUUUAAUAUAUUUUAAAAAAAUAUUUUAAGUUGUUAAUUAUUAUGAUUUAUGUGUCACAUGUAAAAUUGUGAGAGUCAACGAAAUUUUAAUUAUAUUUUUAAUACAAUAUUUCAAGUAUGUAAUUUUAAAUACUACAUGUUAUUUCCCUGUCCGAAUUAAUAUGGCACAUAUUAAAUUGUGAGAUUUAAUUGAAAAAAUUUAUAUGCUUUUAAAUAUUUUAAAUUGUGAUUAAUAGUACUCUUAAUGUAACAAUAUAUUUUACUCCCUUUGUGUCAAUUUAUGUGGCAUAUGUGAAAUUUUUAGAGUUAACCACAUUUUAAUAAGAUUUUUAAAUAUUUUAAGUUGUUAAUUAUUGUAUUUUAUAGAAUUCUUAAUGUGAUUUACAAAUAAUAUGGUAUUCUCUCAGUCCUAAUUAUGUCGUACAUGUGAAAUUUUGAGAGGUAAUUAAAGUUGUAAUAUUUUAAGCUAGUUUUAGUACUAUUAUUAUAAAUACAUAGUAUAUUAAAAAAAAAGUAAAAAUAAAAUAAAAUAAAAUAGAUUAAAUACAAUAUAAAUAGAAGAAGUUGUGGAGAAGGGCAAACCAGUCAAUUGACCGGCUGAACCUAAGCUCCUCAACAUUAGCUUGUAUAAUAUCAUUUUCCACAUAUGAAAUUACGAGAGUUAAUAAAAUUUUAAUAUGAUUUUCAAAUAUUUUAAGUUGUUAAUUAUUGUAAUUUAUAGAAUUCUUAAUGUGAUUUUCAAAUAAAAAAUGGCACUCUCAGUCUUAUUAUGUCGUACCUGUAAAAUUUUGAGAUGUCAUUAAAUUUGCAAUAUUUUAAGUUAAUUUUUACUAAUAUUAUUAUAAAUACAUAGUAAGUAAAAAUAAAUAUUUAAAUAAAAUAAAUUAAAAUAAAUAAAAUACAAUAUAUAAAUAGAAAAAGUUGAGGAGAAGGGCAAAUUGGUCAAUUGACCAGCUGAUCCUAACCUCCUCAACAUUCGCUUCUAUAAUAUAGUUAUAGUUAUAUAGGAAGUUUUAAAUUAAUUUUUUAAUGAUUCACGACUAAAAAACAACGGAUAUAAAAGUGUUGUCUGUCGUUUUUCUAAAAAAUAAUUUUUUUUUAAAAAGUGCGAACGACCUUUGGCGCCAAAUAUAUAUAGAAUCAAUAAUAAAUUAUUCUAUACAUAUAGUCUAUAUCUUUUUAUUUUAAAUAAUUAUUUACAAAUUAAGAAAAAAGUCACGCUGUCCAUCGCUUUUUAUUAAUUUUAAUUGUUUAAUUAUUUCUUAAAUAAGUGACGGAUAGCAUCUUUAAGUCCGUCUCUUCUUGGUCAAAAUAUCUGGUCAAUUAUUUUUUUAAAAGCGACGGAGAAUGUCUCUUUGUCCGUCUCUUUUUGGUCAAAAAUUUAUUCAAGUAUCUUUAAAAUAAAAGCAACGGACAUGGCGACGUUGUCCGUCACUUUUCAUUAAAUAUCUGAUAGACCAAUCGGGUUUUCCUCAUUUCCCCCUCUCUCUCAACCCUUAUUCUGUCCCCAUUCCUUCUAUCGAUUUUCCCCGUCGCUGCCCUUCCCCGUCCCAUCCCCGUCCCUGCCCUUCCCCGUCCCAUCCCCGUCCCUGCCCUUGCAGUGUGUCCUAUCACCGUUGUCGUUCGCCGUUCGCUCCCUCUCAUAUUUGUUAAGGUAACUAAGGAAGCUCAACAUCUAAAAAAUUUGAUACAAGACUAUAUUUCUUCUUUCAUCAAAGUAAGAGAUAAGGUGGAUCAUCGUUUGAUGGAUGUAUAAUAUGCAUUAUGGAACUAGUGUGGAUUUGAAACCCGAGUUCAUUGACGAUGUUAGAGAUUUUAUUGCACAUACAAUGACAUUUGACAUUUUCAAGAAUAAUGGAUUGGUCAGGUGUCCUUGAAGUGCAUAUGGCAUCAAGCGGUGACAAUGAUAGACAUCACGAGUAUCUUGCAGUUAGCGAGACUAAACAGGUCAAAGAGAAGAAGUCUAUGUUUGAGGCAUUGUCUUCAGUACGCUACGAGGACCUACCUUUACGGGAUAUUUGUCGAGAGGACCCUUAUCGACAGGUACUCCAUCUCCCACAAGUACUCCAUCUUCUACAUGUACAUCUCCUGAGUUAUCUGCCAUGUGGAUUAGAGAUUCUAGAAGUGAGUUGUCAAAUUCUAUGACCGGUACGCCUCCAUUGACUCAGCGUUAUGAGUAUGCAUCAUCCUCAGCAACAACUACACCUAGUACUGCUCUAGAUGAUGAGAGGUCUCCUCUAGUUCCUGGCUAGAAGGACAGACUUGGUAGAGUCAUGAUUGAGCCAGAUGGAUUAUCGUGGCAUCCGACAAAGAAUGUUGUCGUGGCUUUAAACUAAAGUGUUAGGAUACUCUAUACACAUGCUUAUCCCUCUUGGCUGAGAUCCUAAAAAGUAUACACCACAUGAUGUUUAAUAACUUUAAGACUAUGUUUAUUUGCAAGUAGAGACACAAUCAAGUCAUUUCGACCACAUUUGAAAGAAAGGCAUCCGUUAGACUGUCUGCUUGCCUAAAGAAAGUUCAGGAUGAUGUUGAAUAUCCGGAUUGGAUGUUGCCGCAUGUUCAUGAUGAACUAGGUCUAUAUUGAAACACAGAUAAAUUUCAGGCAAUAUCAAACCAAGCCAAAAAGGCUAAAGGAACUCUUAAAGGUGGCUCGUUGCACACCGGAGGUGCAAAGUACGUGAAACAAUUGUAAGAGAGAUGGGAGAUACACAAGGGUAGAGUCAAUGGUCUAGGCACUCUGAACGAUGUAAGACGGCUCCAGUCAGGCUUACAAGGAAUUGGAUCGUCCAGUCAAGUCGAGGCCCUUGAUGGUGUUCAGAUUUUUGCUAUGUUGAUCAAAUAGUUAAAUUUACAGCGGCAUUUGCAGAGUUGGAGCAGAAAAGAGCAGCUGAGCAAUAAAGCAUGAGUGCGACUGUUUAUCAAAUUAAAGAAGAAGUAAUGAACCUCUCUUGUGGACCUACUACAUCGGCUCUCGAUGAUGUCUACGACGACACUUCUGAUGAUGACGAUGAUUGUGUAGGAGCCACUCCCUAGCAAGUUUACAUUUGUGGACAAUU